rnacentral:rRNA from 1 species
GGUGAACGCUGGCGGCGUGCUUAAGACAUGCAAGUCGAACGGGCUCUUCGGAGCCAGUGGCGCACGGGUGAGUAACGCGUAACUGACCUACCCCAAAGUCGCGGAUAACGAUUCGAAAGAAUCGCUAAUACGUGAUGUGCUGUCAGAUCCUGUUCUGCCAGUAAAGCUUUAUUGCUUUGGGAUGGGGUUGCGUUCCAUCAGCUAGUUGGUGGGGUAAAGGCCCACUAAGGCGACGACGGAUCGCCGGCCUGAGAGGGUGGCCGGCCACAGGGGCACUGAGACACGGGUGCCACGCCUACGGGAGGCAGCAGUUAGGAAUCUUCCACAAUGGGCGAAAGCCUGAUGGAGCGACGCCGCGUGAGGGAUGAAGGUCUUCGGAUCGUAAACCUCUGAAUCAGGGACGAAAGACGCGAAAGCGGGAUGACGGUACCUGAGUAAUAGCACCGGCUAACUCCGUG